rnacentral:lncRNA from 1 species
CAAUCCUCCUGCCUCAGCCUUCCAAAGUGCUGUGAUUACAGCCGUGAGCCACCAUGCCUAGCUGGUUUAAUGCAAUUCUUACCCAAAUCUCAGCAAGAUUUUUUUGUAGACAUAGACAAGCUUAUUUUAAAAUUUAUAUGGAAAGGGAAAGACACUAGAAUAGCCAAAACGUAUGAAAAAGAAGAAAAUUCAUGAUGUCAGGGCUUACCAUAUAGCGACGGUAAUAAAGACAGUGUGGUAUUGGUAGAGGAGCAGACACAUAGAUUAAUGAAAUAGAACAGAGAUCCCAGAAAUAGACCUACACAAACAUUUGAUUAAUAAUUAAAUAAAUAAUAAAAUAAUAUUUGAUGAAGGAGCAAAAGUGGUUUAGAGGAGAAAUGACAGCCUUUUCAACAAAUGCUCCUGGAACAACUGGACAUUCAUAAGCCAAAUAAAUAAAUAAAUAAAUAAACCUCACACCUUAUACAAAAAAUUAACUCAAAAUGGAUCAUAGACUUAAUGUAAAACAUAAGCUAUAAAACUUCUAGAAAAAUAGGAGGAAAACUGUGAGAUCUAGGACUAAUCAAAGGUAUUUUUAGACUUGACACCAAAGCUUGAUGAAUAAAAAGAAAAUUUGAUAUACUGGACCUCACCAACAUUAAAAGCUAUUGCUCUGAAAAGACUAUGUUAAAAGGAUGAACAAACUAAUUAUAGACCAGGAGAAAAUAUUUGUAAAUCACAUAUCCAGCAAAGGACUUUUAUCUAAAAUAUAUAAAGAAUGCUCAAAACUUGAUAUUUAAUGGCCAAAAGACUUGACACAACAUUUCAUCAAGGAAAAUAUACAUAUGGCAAAAAGCACAUGACAAGAUGCUCAGCAUCGUUAGCCAUUGGUAAAAUGCAAAUUAAAUCACACAAUAAGAUAUCACCGCACACCUGUUAGAACAGUCAAAAUAAAAAAUACUGACAGUACCUAUAAUAGUUUCAUAGUGUUACUGUAGUAAAUCACCACAAAUUUCGUGGCUUAAAACACCACAGAUGUAUUAUCUUACAGUUCUGGAGGUCAGAAGUCCAAAAUGAGUUUAAUGAGGCUUGUGGCUAUCAUCCUUCAAAGCCAGCAAUGGCUGCUUGGUUGAGUCUUUUUCACUUCACAUCACUCUUUUGCCUCCUUCUUCCACAUUUAAAGGAUUAUUGUGAUUAUAUUGGGUCUACCUAGAUAAUCCAGAAUAAUAUUUUCUUAAGGUCAACUAAUUAGCACUCUUAAUUCCAUCUGCAACCAAAAUUCUCCCUUGCAUAACUUAUUUCAUAGGUCUGGAGGAUUAGGAUGUGGACUUUUGUGGGAGCCAUUUUUCUGCCUAUCACAAUACCAAAUGUGAGCAAGGAUGCAGAGAAACUGGAGCUCACAUAUUGCUGGUUGGAAUGUAAAAUGGCAGAGGCACUCUGAAAAAGUUUGACAAUUUUCUAUAAAGUUAAACAUAUACUUAAACAUAUGACCCAGUAAUUGCACUCCUGGGUAUUUAUCCUAAAGAAAUGAAAUUUUAUGUUCAAUUUUAAAACUCUAUAUAUGAAUAUUCACAGCAGUUUUAUUUGUAAUAGACAAAAAUUGGAAACUACUCAAAUGUCCUUCAAUGGGUAGGCCAUUAAACAAAUUGUGGUUCAUCCAUGUACUAUGGCAUAUUAUUCAAAAAUUAAAAGAAACUAUGAUAUACACAGCAUCUUGAAUGGACCUCAAGGAAAUUAUGGUGAAUGAAAAAGCCAAUCUCAAAAAGAUAAACAUUGCAUAAUUCCAUUUAUAUAACAUUCAUGAAACAAUGUAAUUAUAGCCAAGGAGAUCAGAUUAGUGGUUUCCAGGGGUUGGGCAUGAGGGGCCGUGCCUAUAAAGAGGCAGCACGAGGGAACCUUUUGGCUACCAAAUAGUUCUGUAUCUUGAUUGUGGUAGCAGUUUUAUAAAAUUACAUGUGAUGAAAUUGCAUACAGCUAUAAGCACACAUGCGCACACACAAGUGCAUGUAGAAUUGGUGGAAUCAGAAUAAGCUCUGUAAAUGGUACUGAUGUCAAUCUUCUGGUUUUGAUGCUGUGCUGUGGCUUCAUAAAAUGUUUCCAUUGGGGUAGUCUGAGUGAAGGGUGCAUGAAGUAUUUCUUCACAACUUCCGGUGACUCUAUAAUUGUUUCAAAAUAAGUGGUGACGAUUGCUUCUCGGCCUUUUGGCUAAGAUCAAGUGCAAAAUACAUGGUGACAUCAGCAGGAUGGCCAACUGGAAGUUCCUAGCACUUGUCCCCUUCACAAAGAAAGCCAGAAUAGCAACAUUUUAAUGAAACAAAACAAUCAAACAAACAAAAAACAGGGAGAGCACUGGAGUGCAUCAGAGAAGUAACAGAAACCCUGGUGAGCACAGAAACUUGGAAUAGUCAAAUAAAGAAAGGAAGAAAUGCUGGGCCUUACCCCAUCCCCAAACCAGGAUCAUCUGGGAACCAGGAGGAACUUCUUCCUACAGCAAGAAGGUAAGCAAGAGGAUCCCAGCAACCCCCACCAACACCUCGAACACAUACAGACCUCAUCAGUAGGGUGCCCUGCAGUCUUUACAAGGACUAAGCCCAGCUGAGGGAGCUGCCUCCAGUCCACAUACCUAUGCUCCCUCCAGAGGAGACGCUGACACUGUGCCUCGCCCCCUGUGGCCUGUGUAGCUACUGUGCUACACCAUCUUGGAAUUGCAACUACAGCUAGAGUGUCUUACUCGGCGGGUGAGUAGCCACAACUCCUCUUCAUCCCUGAAGCUAAGUCAUCACUGAACUACCCCAGUCUAGUAGCCCAACAUCCACAAGCUGAGCUGCAAACAGCUGUUAUACUCUUUCCCAUGGGAUCAAGGGUGGAGCUACUCUACCUACCCCUCCCUACCCCAGGCCAGAGCUGAAGCACUACCCUCUCUCCUGGAAAAACAGUAUCUUGGCCAUUCAGAGCAAUCACACCUUCCUGGUGCCUAAGUUGAAGCAGCACCCUGCAUCCCAGGAAAUGGUGCCUGGUCCUCCCAGAAUAGUCAUAUCCCCCAGGCCUGAGCUGAACUAGCAUACCAUCCCCUGGGCAAUCAGUGCCCUGGCUAAGCUGAGCAGUUGUACAUCCCAGGGCUGAGCUUAUGUAGUACCCCGGGUCCCAGAGAAACAGAGCAGUGGCUGAACUGAGACACUCGCACCCCCCACAGGCCAUAAUACUCAAGUACUUCCCUGGAGCUGGACUAGCCCCCUAGAGUUUGAGCUGCUGAGACACCCCUCUCCCUGGGGAGUGGAGUCACUGCUGUUUUGUUUCCUGUCCCCCACCACCCCAAGGCCCAAAUGACAGCUGUGCUCUGGCAUUCUGGGGUCACAGAAUCUAGGAUACUGCUAAGCCCCACCAUCCCAGGGUCUAGAGUCACCACUACACGAUGCCUCAUCCUUUGGGACCUGAGUUGCCAAUGAGCUCUAUUGGCCCAGGUUCCUGAAUUGCAGCCAUAUUCUGCUCCUCAGGCUCAAAUCUGCAAAGCAGCCCUUCUUCCCAGGAGUCAGGCCAGUGCUAUGCUUUGUCCCCAGGGGUAGAAUCACAGCUAUAAACCAGCCCCUGGGCCCAAGCAGCUAGGGGUUGCCACAGAGUCACAGAUAUUGGCUCUGUGGGCAACCUACACCAAACCCUGCCACAUACCACAAGGCACAGGUGCUGCAGUAGGUUCACAGAUGCUGAGCCUAGGAUCCCAGCCCCAUGGCCACUCUGAGCACCUGCAGUUGGAAUCAGCACCACUGUAGCUGCUUGUAGGCUGUGUCAGACCUGAUGGCAAAGGAGAACCCCUCAGACAGGUCCCCCCACUGUGGGGAAAAAAUGAGAAUAGGAGGACCUCAAAAGCCCUUGACACUGAGGACAUUAACAUCCUACACUGCUGCCACAAACUUCUACAGCCUAGGUCACUGAAGUGUCCAUAGUUACUGCUGGCAUUGAAUGAAGCUGAAGAAGACUUCAUUCAACAAAGAAAACUAUAUCACUGCAUCUAUCUGGAAGCAGAGUCACCA